rnacentral:tRNA from 1 species
AACUAUUUAGUAUGAAAUUAUACAUUUGUUUUGAAAACUUAAAAAGGGCCACCAAUAGUUU